UACAGAGACUGCAAGCGUUAUUCGGAUUCACUGGGCGUAAAGGGUGCGCAGGCGGCCGUGUGUGUGAGGCGUGAAAGCCCGGGGCUUAACCCCGGAAUUGCACCUCAAACUACACGGCUAGAGCAUUGGAGAGGGUAGCAGAAUUCACGGUGUAGCAGUGAAAUGCGUAGAUAUCGUGAGGAAUACCAGAGGCGAAGGCGGCUACCUGGACAAUUGCUGACGCUCAGGCACGAAAGCGUGGGGAGCAAACAGG
rnacentral:rRNA from 1 species